ACUUCCCUUGAUCUAGAUGCUAUACUCCUAUUGAUGAGGCCCAGAAUUGCAUUGGCUUUUUUAGCUGCUGCGUCACACUGUUGGCUCAUGUCAAGUUUGUGGUCAACCAAGACUUCUAGAUCCUUUUCACAUGUACUGCUCUCAAGCCAGGUGUCACCCAUCUUGUAUUUGUGCCUCUCAUUUUUUUUGCCCAAGUGCAAUACUUUACAUUUCUCCCUGUUAAAAUUCAUCUUGUUUGUUUUGGCCC